rnacentral:lncRNA from 1 species
AUAAUCAGGUCCAACUUAAUAAUGAAAUUUAAAAUAUGAAGCCCAAUCAUUUUGAAUAAAGGGAGCCCAGCCCAAUAAAUUAAAAAUCAAAUAGGGCCCAAGCCCAUUUCCACCCCUUCACCCUAAUUUAGCUCUCAUACCUCAACACACCCACAUAACUCACGCACCCUCCCUCUCCUCUCUCAGCUGCUCUUCCCUUCUCCCUUCUCGGCCUACUGCCGCCGCCACCAGACGGCACGCCGCCGCCGGAGGCCGGCGACUCUGCCUCCCCCUGUCCUCUCCUGAACCUCUCUCUCUCUCUCCAUCGACUUCUCUCCCCCUUUCUGCCCUUCUCCUCGCCGCUCCAAGCCGUGGCUGACUCCUCCUCCGGCCUCAUCCCUCGCCAGCCGUCGCCUGCUUCUGCCCAACACCGCCCUCACCUUUCUCUCUUCAGCCGACAGCGCGGCCACCCUCGCCGUCCCACGACAGAGAGCAGCGGUUGGUCAGGCCGUUUCCCUCCGUCUCCAUUCGGCGCUGCUGCUGUCAUGCUUCUUCUCCACCACCGGUCGCCACCCCAGCUUCUCUCCGCACCGCCUUGGCGCAUGCAGCGCACGGCGGUGCUGUCCAACCACCCCUUCCCCCUGUUCCUAAGCCACCAUCCCUCUUUCACUACUUCUAUUUUCUUUUGAGAUUCGUUCAAUUUGGUUUUUCUUAUGAAAUACAGAUAAAAUGAUUCAUUUAUGCAGUGUAAAGAAAAGGAAAAAUAGAAUUUGUGUUUUUGAUUUUUGAUGCAGAUAUGAAAAUAAUGAAGAAAAUUGUGAAUAAAAUUUCAUAGCUUUACAAAAUAACUAAAAUUACCGAUUGAGAUUUCUGCAGUAGGUAGGAAGAAACAGGAUGAAUUAUAUAAG